GGCAACAAAAGGCCGCGUUUUUCACUGAGAAGCAUCAACAGCAAUGUAAAAAAAAAGGGAAACGUGAAAUCCUACUGCUACUACUAGUCUACCAGCUCAAUAUCAGCUUGGUUAUCAUCUCCUUCUUUUUCAUCAUCCUCAACGAGAAGAUUUUAGUUGUCCAGGGUUUAGGUAUUCUCAUAAAGUUGAUUAGGUUUACCCAAAAGAAGAAUCGUUAACCUCGUAAAGAAGAUUAUCUCCUGAUUCACAAGGGGAGAAGUACAGUCGGCACGGGAGCAACAACAGGUUUCAUCAUCAGAAUAGGUCCUACUAUCCCAAGAAAAUGCAACAUGAUGGAGGUGGUACAUAUAAGCGUAAAAGGUUUACUGAGGAGGAAUUCCCAAGGGAGGCCACUUCCCCUAGUUAUGCUUCCUAUCUAGAGACACUUAUGCGGGAUAGUGCACCACCACCAGCAGUUGGCACUUGGCCUCAACCAAGGAGGAAAGGGUUUGAUGAAGAAUCUUCUUUAGCAAGAGACUCGAGACAACAUGACAAGCCUUAUGGUGAUUCAUUCCAUGAACUGGACAGAUUGCAGGAAGCCAAGAAAUAUCAUGAGAUUGAUAAUUCUAGUAGUGGAUAAGUUUCAAGAUAGCUAUCACGGCACUGACAGCUACUACAACCAUGGGUAUGAUGAGCCUGAGAGGCUUAGUGGAUGUAAUCGUGCUGAUUUUCCACCUGAUGAUUCUGAUUAUGACAGAGGUGGUAAGAGAGAUGAUAGUUGGAAAAGGCGUGAUUCCCGUGAACGUGAUAAAAAAUGUUUGAGUCGAGAGAGAGUUCAAGCUGAUUAUGACAGAGGUGAUAAGAGAGAUUAUAGUUGGAAAAGGCGUGAUUCCCGUGAACGUGAUAAAAAGAGUUUGAGUCGAGAGAGAGAUCAACCUGAUUAUGACAGAGGUGGUAAGAGAGAUGAUAGUUGGAAAAGGCGUGAUUCACGUGAACGUGAUAAAAAGAGUUUGAGUCGAGGGAGAGAUCAAUCUGAUUAUGACAGGGGUGGUAAGAGAGAUGAUAGUUGGAAAAGGCGUGAUUCCCGUGAACGUGAUAAAAAGAGUUUGAGUCGAGAGAGAUAUCAAUCUGAUUAUGACAGAGGUGGUAAGAGAGAUUAUAGUUGGAAAAGGUGUGAUUCCGGUGGACGUGAUAAAAAGAGUUUGAGUCGAGAGAGAUAUCAAUCUGAUUAUGACAGAGGUGGUAAGAGAGAUGAUAGUUGGAAAAGGCGUGAUUCCCGUGAACGUGACAAAAAGAGUUUGAGUCGAGAGAGAGAUCAAAGUCCACGAAGGAGAUGCCGACAUUCUUGUUCACGUGGAGAUGAUGAUCGUCAGAGAUCAAAGUCUCCUCAAGGUUACAGCCACCGUCGAAGUUACCUGGAGGACAGCUAUGAUGUAGGCCAGCACAGUAGUGGUGGAAAGUUAAUGAACCGUGAUGUCAGGACCAUUCUAAAGUGGUUCCAUGUGUGACAGUUGUGGUGAAGGGUUUGCCAGAGAAGACAACCGAGGAAGAUCUUUAUCGGAUCCUGGAGGCAUGGGGACCGUUUUGUCGUCUCCGCGUUAUAAAACAACCAAACUCUGUCUCUUCCGGUGGAUUUGUUGAUUUUCCUUCCAUGGUAACGGCUCGUAAGAUGGUGGAUGGAAUUGGAGAUGCUGGCCUUGUUGUUGAUGGGAGAGCUCUUCUAUUUCAGUUCAGGUACAUGAUUUAAGGAAAAGCAAGGUCUUUAUUAGUACUUCAUUUUCAGUAGCAACACGUAGUAUUCUUUAAAGUGCGCUUGACUUCAAGUUGUACACCUAAACAAAAAUAUUGAUCAGUUCACAUCUUAGUUCUAGAUGUAAACAUGUGCAGUCAUCGAAAAAUGUGUUUACAACAGAUAGCAGUAGUAGCGGAUGUGGUUCAAAAGAAGAAGUAAAUAUCUUACAAUCAUUUUUUUUCUUUGAAACUGUAUAUAACUCUGUACAACUUAUGAUCUAUAUAAAACUUACGAAAUGCUUCAUAUCCACGUAUGAGCAAAAGCAGAAGAAUUACGAUUACGAGGAAUAUUUAAUGUUUACCAUGCCGAGCAGUACAGUUCUGAUGUUGGGUCGUAGUGGUAUCUCAGCUGCUAAUUAAGUAGUGUCUGAAAAGAAGAAAAGUAUCUAGUCGGCAAACGUAAAACCAUAUCUCACACUGGAGAAGAAUGAGCUGGCAGAAUAAGAAAUACAAGUUCCAGAUGACUGAAAAUCAAUACUUGACAUGUUUACGUUUUCUUAUCCACUAUGAAACAUCAACAUCUUGAGUCGUAUUUCCGUCAUUUUAAGUUAUAAGAACCCACUGCCGGCACUAUUGGAAAUGGCACAUGAAAUGAACUGAAUCCCAAUCCUAUUAAUAAACAUAAGUUAUUAAUUUGUAAUGGUUAUAUUUUGCUAGCCUGUAACAAGAACAAGAUGAAUAUCAUUAACUAAACUAACACAUUAAGGAUGUAGAUGAAGUGCUCAUGAGUAAGUAUAUUCAUUUCUUCAUUCCUUUCUUUCUUGAACUUAACUUCUGUAUAUUUAGUAGUUGCUGUUGAUUUUGUGAAUGGUCGAAGGGACUCUACUUUGUUUUUCAUCUUUAAAUCUUUAGUUCUUUUGCAUUUGGAUGAAGUUCGUAAUUAAUGAUGUAGUUGCGUGUUGGUUUUGUGAAUGAUCGAAGGGAUUCUACUUUGUUUUUCAAUUGUUAAAUCCCUAGUUCUUUUGCAUUGGAUGAAGUUCGUAAAUGAUGACGCAACCUUGAUUGGAGAAAGCAGGAUAAGGAAAAAAGAGAGCCAAUCAAAACAUGAAAAGGAAAACAGAAGGAAGAAAAUAAUCAAAAAAGCAAUAGAAAGAGCUGUCCAGCAUCAGCAAGAUGGAGAGGGAGGAGAAAAAAUACAUCAAAAACAGAAAAAUCUGCCACAGCAGCAGAAACAACCGCCACAACUACUUGAGGUUGAUGAUAUCCAUCUGAGCCUUCUUCACAUGGUAUUUCUUCUUCUAUUCUUGAGAAAAGAAUAACUGCAUCAAGGAACUGCAACAGCAGCAGAAACAACCGCAACAGCAACUACUUGAGGUUGAUGAAGUCCAGCAUUACCCUUCUUCACAUGAGAUUUCAUCUUCUAUUCUUGAAGAAAGAAUGACUUGCAUCAAGGAAGAUCAAUAUCCAAAAGCUAUUAGGGAAGCUAAUGAGAUUGGUGGUCCAGCUGUAGUGAUGAGGUUCUUGAAUGAUCCCAAGGUUUUACAGAAGAUGGGGGAUGGUAUGGGCUUUGGAGCUUCAGGAGAUGUUGUCAAUCCAACUGAAUAUAGACUAUAUAGUGCACCAUAUGAUAAUGCAGAAGAUAGAUCUGCCAAAGAGGGCACAUCAAUUGUUCACCGGACUGGUGGUGUUGGUGACACUGAGAAGGAAAUGGAUAGGUUGCCGAACGAAGAAAGGGUUACAGAAGGAAGGAAAAUGUCAAAGAAUCAACGGAAGAAUAAGAGGAAAAAACUCAACAAAAGGAGGACUGCACUGGCUGCACAAUUGAGAGCAAAUAAUGCUCUUUAUACUGGUCGUGGAAGAGAGGAGUGUGUGACACCAGUUGCUUCGGGAAACAUUGCGGCCGUCCCUAUUGUAGAAGAACUUGAGAUUGGUAAUCUCCAGCACGACUUUUCCGCAGAUCCUAUUUCUACCUCUAUCUCCGAAGAAGGUCUUGAAGAACUAAUGUCUUGCGUCAAGAAAGAUCUAUAUUUGAAACCUAUUGUAGAAGAUAUCGAGAUUGGUGGUCCAACAGUAAUGAUGAGGUACUUGAAUGAUCCUGAGGUUCUGCGGAAGUUGGGGCAGGCAAUGGGUUUUGGACUUUCAGGGGAAAUUGUAGAUACAGGUAAACAUAAUGCACCGGCUGAUUAUGCAAAAAGUAAAACUGCCAAAGAGAGUGAUUCGAUUGUCCUCGCUGGGAACAAGGGGAACUGCAGGCACAAGGAUGUUGUUAACUAAGGGUUGUAGUACCAGCAUGGAAUGAGGCUACUAUAGCAGAACCAAUUAAUUUCUAUCGGUUUUGCUAUAACUGUUGUGGAGGGGGGCAUAAGACAUCGCAAUGCCCUAUAGAGAAGGUGCAAGCAGCAGACAAAUGUGAGCAGACAAACACUGGGGUUGGGAAUAGUGAUGUGCAUCCUCCUGGCCAGGUCGUAGUACCAGCAUGGAAUGAGGCUAUUGCAGCAGAACCAAUUUAUUUUUAUCGGAUUUGAUGUGUCUGUCGUGAAAGUGGGCAUUAGGCAUCGCAAUGUCCUAAAUAGAAGGUGCAAGCAGGAGACAGAUAUGAGCAACCAAACACUGGGGCUGGAAGCAGUAAUGUGCAGCCUCGUGGCCAGGUUCAACUUUUUGCUUUGCACCCUCAUGAGACUGAGAAUGCUACAUCGGGAGGUACCUUCUUUAUUUUAAGGGAGACUAUUUGUAUUUUGUUUGAUACUAGAGCUACACAAUUGUUCAUUUUAUCGGCUAGGUUGCAUACUGGGUAUUAGGUUGCUUUAUUGAUUAUAUGUUUGAUGGCUUUAUAUUUGGAGAACUGUGAACUGUGGUGAUGGCAUUUUAAAAGAAGUCGCGCGCAGAACAAGUAAUUUAUUACUUGCUUUGAUUUUCUUGACUUGUAGUUGGUACUUCUGAACCUACAUGCUAAUUAAAUAUACUGUCCCAAGGGUUGUGUUAACAUAGAUAACAUAAUUACUGCUUUUAUAUAUGGUCGUUCAUAUACAGGGCUGAUGCGAGGCAGUUGGAUAUGUUACCCAUUAAGAGUAUGAUCAUAUGCUAACUUGCUGGAAUGGUGUAUUCUGAUAAGUUCAUGUACAGCAUCUAGAUAUGUGUGCUGGGAUAUGACCCUUUACAUCUUCUAAAUGACAUAUUAUUUGCACAUAAUUCAGUAGGAUAUUGGCAUAACAUAUAUGAGAUGUGUUCCAUUACAUCAGAUAGUAUAUUUGUCGCAGUAUGGCUUGCUGGUGUGAUGUAUAGGAUGGGUUCCAGAACAUCAUGUGUAAUUCGGGAUGAGAAAGAGCUUUGGUGAUUCCAGUUUCGGGUGGAUUUCAAUGGAUAUAUCUACACUUCUACCGUCUUAAUUUCUUUCUUGCGAGCUGUAGUUGUGAGAUAGUUGGAUAUUUAUUUUGGUAGUUUGUUAUUUUCAAUGGGGACUGGAAACCCUUGGCGAAAUAAUUGUGUCAUCAAGAACCAUUUUAUUAAUCAUCUUUUAUAAAGAAGGCUAUUAUCGGGGGUCACAUUCCAUUAAAGGGGCGUCACCUAAUAGGAUAAAAACGGGUUAUCCAUAAGUAAUAUCAAAAACCUCUUAUUUCAAAUAAUUUUGUA